rnacentral:rRNA from 1 species
CUAGUUGGUGGGGUAAGAGCCUCCCAAGGCGACGAUCGGUAGCUGGUCUGAGAGGACGAACAGCCACACUGGGAUUGAGAACGGCCCAGACUCCUACGGGGGGCAGCAGUGAGGAAUUUUCCGCAAUGGACGCAAGUCUGACGGAGCAACGCCGCGUGCAGGAGGACGCUUUUCGGAGUGUAAACUGCUUUUCUCUGGGACGAGAGUGGACGGUACCAGAGGAAGAAGCCCCGGCUAACUACGUGCCAGCAGCCGCGGUAAUACGUAGGGGGCGAGCGUUGUCCGGAGUUACUGGGCGUAAAGGGCAUGCAGGCGGUCGGACGCGUUUUGUGUGACAGCGGGUGGCUCAACUACCCGAGCAUAGGAAAGACGGUUUGACUUGAGGGCUCGAGAGGGACACGGAAUUCCGGGUGGAGUGGUGAAAUGCGUAGAGAUCCGGAGGAACACCGAAGGCGAAGGCAGUGUCCUGGCGAGUGACUGACGCUGAGGUGCGAAAGCCAGGGGAGCGAACGGGAUUAGAUACCCCGGUAGUCCUGGCCGUAAACGAUGACCACCAGGUGUGGGAGGUAUCGACCCCUUCUGUGCCAAAGGAAACCCAUUAAGUGGUCCGCCUGGGGAGUACGGUCGCAAGAUUAAAACUCAAAGGAAUUGACG